UACUUCGGCGUAUCUCUUCGCUACCAGCGC
rnacentral:sRNA from 1 species